CACGUAGGGGACGAGCGUUGUCCGGAUUCAUUGGGCGUAAAGCGCGCGUAGGCGGCUCGGAAAGUCGGGCGUGAAAUGCCGGGGCUCAACCCCGGGACUGCGUCCGAUACUGGAUGGCUUGGAUUUGGGAGAGGGAUGCGGAAUUCCAGGUGUAGCGGUGAAAUGCGUAGAUAUCUGGAGGAACACCGGUGGCGAAGGCGGCAUCCUGGACCAAUAUUGACGCUGAGGAGCGAAAGCUAGGGGAGCAAACGGG
rnacentral:rRNA from 1 species